GCUGAGGAAUCUAACUUCGGUUAGAGCCGUUUUUGAACUAGGAAGCUGCUAAUCUAGCUUAGUCUACCUUUAGAUUAGAUCUCAAAUCAGAUAGGAUUACCCGCUGAACUUAAGCAUAUCAAUAAGCGGAGGAAAAGAAACUAACAAGGAUUCCCCUAGUAGCGGCGAGCGAAGCGGGAAGAGCUCAAAUUUGUAAUCUGGCGCUUUCAGCGUCCGAGUUGUAAUCUCUAGAAAUGUUUUCCGCGUUGCACCGCACACAAGUCUGUUGGAAUACAGCGGCACAGUGGUGAGACCCCCGUUCAUGGUGCGGAUGCGCAAUGCUUUGUGAUACAUUUUCGAAGAGUCGAGUUGUUUGGGAAUGCAGCUCAAAUUGGGUGGUAAAUUCCAUCUAAAGCUAAAUAUUGGCGAGAGACCGAUAGCGAACAAGUACCGUGAGGGAAAGAUGAAAAGCACUUUGGAAAGAGAGUUAACAGUACGUGAAAUUGUUGGAAGGGAAACGCUUGAAGUCAGACUUGCUGUUCGGAGUUCAGCCGCAAGGUGUACUCUCCGAGUUGCAGGCCAGCAUCAGUUUUUCGGGGUGGAAAAUCACGGUUUGAAGGUAGCAGUUUCGGCUGUGUUAUAGCUUUCCGUUGGAUACAUCCUGGGGGACUGAGGAACGCAGUGUGCUUUUAGCAGGGGUU
rnacentral:rRNA from 1 species